rnacentral:pre_miRNA from 1 species
CAUCUACUCCCUCCGUCCCAAAAUUCUUGUCUUAGAUUCGUCUAGAUACGGAUGUAUCUAAUACUAAAACGUGACUUGAUACAUCCGUAUUUAGACAAAUGUAAGACAAGAAUUUUGAGACGGAGGGAGUAUUAU